GUAGGAUAUAGUAACAAAUAUAAAAGGGAAAAAUAUUAGACAUAAGGAUAAAACAAAGUCAAACCAUGAUAGUAAAAAUGUGUCAGAGGCUGAAAGUUCAAUGAUAGGAGCAAAGUCACAAAAGAAAUGGUUAAUGAUAUUUGAGUCACAGAACUUCAAUUGAUACAUCAAAAUUAUUUCAGUGGAAAUAAGAAUAAAUGAUCCAAACCAAGACAGAGAGACCAAAUAUAAACACUGCUUAACAUUCAUAAUAGCAGCAUAACGUAACGGAUUGCAUAUUGCCAGAUAUCUGUCAAAGGACAUUACCAUGAGAAUGAGAGAUUGAGAAAACCCAGAAAAACAAUGAAAAUAAUACUGAAAAAUGCAGGCAGUUGUGGAAAUGUUU